rnacentral:rRNA from 1 species
CUCUGAAGAGAGAGUCAAAGACCGUGAAACCGCUCAGAGUAUAAGCCAAUGGAGCUUGGAAGGCUUCCGCAGUGUCGGCCAUCUAUAUGGUGUGUCGUGAGGCAUGUAGCGCGGUUCGUUAGGCGGCAGAUUGAGUUUGCCGCUUAGCCGUCGUGCGGGGAUUCGGUUUGGGGGUCUUAGGCUUCGGCCGAAGCGCUCCCUGGCCGUUUCCUUAUGAAUGAGCGUUCAGAGCUACUGUGUCCUAAUGCGGUUACGCCCACCACGGCACGUUGUGAGGUCACCCACAGGCUCAAACUGCCGAUCGCGUAUCCAGGACGAUGGCAACGAUGCGUUGUGCUGCAGCUCUCUCACUGUGUGGGCUCUGUAACGCGUGUCUAGUCCUGGGUCGGGCGGCGACCGAGAUAAACCUGGUACGAUCCUCUUUGCGACGAGCUGCUUUCUGGCCAGACCGACGUCCAGGCGCUUCCACUGUGCCGGAAGCGUCAAUCCCAGGCGGUUUGAACCCAGCUGCAUUCUGCAAGGUCUCUCAGCCGGGCGUUGGUCUGAGUGGUGUCAAGUCCAGCACCAUCGGUCACGUCUCGAAACACGGGCCAAGGAGUAUAGCAUGUGUGCGAGUCUAAGGGUCUCACAAAACCCGAAGGCGAAGUGAAAGCAAGGCUGUGGCGGGGGAGCUACGGCGAACCCGCCAGCCGUGGGGGCACGCGCGGCACACUCCGCGUGUGUUAGUGCGUGUUGCUCGGCUGUUGGCAGAGCUGAUCCUGCUUCUCGGUAAAUCCUGGUGCAGGCGCAAGCUCCGGGCUCACGUACAACACUGGUCACGCCUCGCGUGUGGCUGUGUUGUGAGCACCGUGGAGCAUGCAU